GGGCCUGUAGCUCAGGGGGAGAGCGCUUGACUCGCAUUCAAGAGGCCGGGGGUUCGAAUCCCCCCAGGUCCACCA
rnacentral:tRNA from 1 species